rnacentral:rRNA from 1 species
CCUACGGGAGGCAGCAGUGGGGGAUAUUGGACAAUGGGGGGAACCCUGAUCCAGCGACGCCGCGUGAGUGAAGACGUAUUUCGGUAUGUAAAGCUCUGUCAGCAGGGAAGAAAGAAAUGACGGUACCGGACCAAUAAGCCCCGGCUAACUACGUGCAAGCAGCCGCGGUAAUCCGGAGGGGGCAAGCGUUAUCCGGAAUUACUGGGUGUAAAGGGAGCGUAGACGGUGAAGUAAGUCUGGAGUGAAAGGCCGGGGCCCAACCCCGGGACUGCUGUGGAAACUAUUGAACUUGAGUGCAGGAGAGGUAAGCGGAAUUCGUAGUGUAGCGGUGAAAUGCGUAGAUAUCAGGAGGAACACCAGUGGCGAAGGCGGCUUACUGGACUGUAACUGACGUUGAGGCUCGAAAGCGUGGGGAGCAAACAGGAUUAGAUACCCUGGUAGUC